AGUGAACGCUGGCGGUAGACCUAACACAUGCAAGUCGAACGGCAGCACAGUAAGAGCUUGCUCUUACGGGUGGCGAGUGGCGGACGGGUGAGGAAUACAUCGGAAUCUACUUUUUCGUGGGGGAUAACGUAGGGAAACUUACGCUAAUACCGCAUACGACCUACGGGUGAAAGCAGGGGAUCUUCGGACCUUGCGCGAUUGAAUGAGCCGAUGUCGGAUUAGCUAGUUGGCGGGGUAAAGGCCCACCAAGGCGACGAUCCGUAGCUGGUCUGAGAGGAUGAUCAGCCACACUGGAACUGAGACACGGUCCAGAGGCCUACGGGAGGCAGCAGUGGGGAAUAUUGGACAAUGGGCGCAAGCCUGAUCCAGCCAUACCGCGUGGGUGAAGAAGGCGUUCGGGUUGGAAAGCCGGUUUGUUGGGAAAGAAAAGCAGCAGGUUAAUACCCCGCUGUUCUGACGGUACCUAAAGAAUAAGCACCGGCUAACUUCGUG
rnacentral:rRNA from 1 species